GUAGUGCUGUAGUAGUUGUAUACCAGUAGUAGUGCUGUAGUAGUUGUAUACCAGUAGUAGUUGUAUACCAGUAGUAGUGCUGUAGUAGUUGUAUACCAGGGGUAGUGCUGUAGUAGUUGUAUACCAGUAGUAGUGCUGUAGUAGUUGUAUACCAGUAGUAGUGCUGUAGUAGUUGUAUACCAGUAGUAGUGCUGUAGUAGUAGUAUACCAGUAGUAGUGCUGUAGUAGUUGUAUACCAGUAGUAGUGCUGUAGUAGUUGUAUACCAGUAGUAGUGCUGUAGUAGUUGUAUACCAGUAGUAGUUGUAUACCAGUAGUAGUGCUGUAGUAGUUGUAUACCAGUAGUAGUUUAGUUGUAAAGCAGUAGUAGUGCUGUAGUAGUUGUAUACCAGUAGUAGUGCUGUAGUAGUUGUAUACCAGUAGUAGUUGUAUACCAGUAGUAGUGCUGUAGUAGUUGUAUACCAGUAGUAGUUGUAUACCAGUAGUAGUUGUAAAGCAGUAGUAGUUGUAUACCAGUAGUAGUGCUGUAGUAGUUGUAUACCAGUAGUAGUUGUAUACCAGUAGUAGUUGUAUACCAGUAGUAGUGCUGUAGUAGUUGUAUACCAGGGGUAGUGCUGUAGUAGUAGUAUACCAGUAGUAGUGCUGUAGUAGUUGUAUACCAGGGGUAGUGCUGUAGUAGUAUACCAGGGGUGAUGCUGUAGUAGUAUACCAGUAGUAGUAUACCAGGGGUAGUGCUGUAGUAGUAUACCAGUAGUUGUAUACCAGUAGUAGUGCUGUAGUAGUUGUAUACCAGGGGUAGUGCUGUAGUAGUAUACCAGGGGUAGUACUGUAGUAGGAAUAUACUAGGGGUAGUAUACCAGUAGUGUAGUAGUACUGCAGUAUUGGUGUUGUAGUAGUAGUGUGCUACUGUAUGCGGUGCUAAAUGACUGCAUACAGUAGCAUUCUGAACAUUAAUUUCUCUGGCAACAGCUCUGGUGGACAUUCCUGCAGUCAGCAUGCCAACUGCACGCUCCCUCAACUUGAGACAUCUAUGGUAUUGUGUUGUGUGACAACUGCACAUUUUAGAACAAUCUUUUAUUGUCCCCCAGCACAAGGUGCACCUGUGUAAUGAUUGUGCUGUUUAAUCAACUUCUUGAUGCCAGCUUCUUGAUUAUCUUGGCACAGGGGAAAUGCUCACUACCGGGGAUGUAAACAAAUUAGUGCACAAUUUGAGAGAAAUAAGCUUUUUGUUCAAUAUAUGUAUACUUUACACUCCAUUGUAUUUGAUAUCUUUAUCUCUGCCAUAUACAAACGGUAUAUAAAUGUGAUGUCUCUGACCAUAGUGUUGAAAUAGUCAUUACAUUAGACUAGAAGAGUGUACCAGACCAGGUAAAUAGUCUUUAUUAGAUUUUUUUUUAUCAGAGCCCAUAGGGCUGUAAUGAAGUAGUGCACUAUAUAGGGUGUCUAUUGGGAUGGAUGUUCCCACUGUCUUACACAGAUGAGUUACUCAAUCUAUCUUCUGGCCUGCAGCGAGUUCAAACAAUGUACCAUACCAGGCCUGUUACCAGUCUACAGAAGUCACAUUAUUGCUUCUCAUACCACCCUGCAUCCCACUGCUGGCUCGCUCAGAUCUAAACAUGGUUUGUCUCUGGAUGCUGCUGGAAGUGGUGUUGGAGGGCCAGUGGGAGGCACCCUUUCCUCUGCUCUAAAAAAAAAAACAUCCCAAUGACCCAGGACAGUGUUUGGGGACAUUGCCCUGUGUAGCGUGUCGUCUUUCGGAUGAGACGUUAAACAGGUGUCCUGACUCUCUGUGGUCACUAAAGAUCCCAUGGCACUUAUUACAAGAGUAGGGGUGUUAACCCUGAUGUCCUGACGAAAUCCCCAAUCUGGCCCUCAUACCAUCAUGGACACCUAAUCAUGUAUGAGCUGCCAAUUGGCUCAUACAUCCUCUCCCCUGUAACUAUUCCCCAGGUCGUUGCUGUAAAUGAGAAAAUGUUCUCAGUCAACUUAACUGGUAAAAUAAGGGUGAAAUGAAAUGGAGAAGAAUUCUCUACCAACACUCUUCCUUACUUUUUAAAUAGCUAUUUACACUCUGUACCUGAACAAUGGAUUUCAAUUUGUUGAUCAAUGAUUUCUGUAGUUACGGUUCUGUUCUGUAUUUAAAGUUAUGUUUUAAUGAGUUGAAAUUUUUAACCAAGAUUUCAUAUUUAUUUUCAAGUAUUAAUAAAAUAUUUAUUUUGUAACUUAA
ensembl:lncRNA